rnacentral:rRNA from 1 species
UAGGGGAUCUUGCGCAAUGGGCGAAAGCCUGACGCAGCGACGCCGCGUGGGGGAAGAAGGCCUUCGGGUCGUAAACCCCUGUCCCAGGGGACGAGGCAGGACGGUACCCUGGGAGGAAGCCCCGGCUAACUACGUGCCAGCAGCCGCGGUAAUACGUAGGGGGCGAGCGUUGUCCGGAAUGACUGGGCGUAAAGGGUGCGUAGGCGGCCUGCAGGGUCCUGGGUGAAAGGUCCCGGCUUAACCGGGGAGGGUCCUAGGAAACCGGCAGGCUAGAGGGCUGGAGAGGGCCGCGGAAUUCCCGGUGUAGCGGUGGAAUGCGUAGAUAUCGGGAGGAACACCAGUGGCGAAGGCGGCGGCCUGGACAGUACCUGACGCUGAGGCACGAAAGCUGGGGGAGCAAACAGGAUUAGAUACCC